rnacentral:rRNA from 1 species
ACUGGGCGUAAAGCGUGCGUAGGUGGUCGUUUAAGUCUGUUGUGAAAGCCCUGGGCUCAACCUGGGAACUGCAGUGGAAACUGGACGACUAGAGUGUGGUAGAGGGUAGCGGAAUUCCUGGUGUAGCAGUGAAAUGCGUAGAGAUCAGGAGGAACAUCCAUGGCGAAGGCAGCUACCUGGACCAACACUGACACUGAGGCACGAAAGCGUGGGGAGCAAACAGGAUUAGAUACCCCGGU